ensembl:lncRNA
GUUGGGUUAGGGUUAGAUAUAAUAGUUAUAUUGUUAGAGUUGGGUUGGGGUUAGAUAUAAUAGUUAUAUUGUUAGAGUUGGGUUGGGGUUAGAUAUAGUAGUUAUAUUGUUAGAGUUGGGUUGGGGUUAGAUAUAAUAGUUAUAUUGUUAGAGUUUGGUUGGGGUUAGAUAUAAUAGUUAUAUUGUUAGAGUUGAGUUGGGGUUAGAUAUAAUAGUUAUAUUGUUAGAGUUGGGUUGGGGUUAGAUAUAAUAGUUAUAUUGUUAGAGUUGGGUUAGGGUUAGAUAUAAUAGUUAUAUUGUUAGAGUUUGGUUGGGGUUAGAUAUAAUAGUUAUAUUUUUAGAGUUGUGUUGGGGUUAAAUAUAAUAGUUAUAUUGUUAGAGUUGGGUUAGGGUUAGAUAUAAUAGUUAUAUUGUUAGAGUUGGGUUGGGGUUAGAUAUAAUAGUUAUAUUGUUAGAGUUGGGUUGGGGUUAGAUAUAAUAGUUAUAUUGUUAGAGUUGGGUUGGGGUUAGAUAUAAUAGUUAUAUUGUUAGAGUUGGGUUGGGGUUAGAUAUAAUAGUUAUAUUGUUAGUGUUGGGUUAGGGUUAGAUAUAAUAUUUAUAUAGUUAGAGUUGUUAUCAUUUGUUGCACUUCUACAAAGUGCAAGAAACUGUUAGCCUCGCCAAGCCGCCUGAUCCCACAUGCUUAUAUUUAUACACAAUAUCAGUCUGGCUUUGAUGUCUAGGCUUAGGUUUGGAGCUGGCGAGCGUUUAACCGGGCAAAUCAGUGGACUUUCAGAAAUUAUGGAUGUGGUCUAGGUAAUGAGUACUAACGCAAAUAGAUUUUUUCAGGAACGUUCAGGAAUGUUAACCUAAUGCUAUAAGUCUUUUGUUAACAUUUUUGUAAUUUGCUGUUCUUGAUUUUUCUAAUAUUUUAUUUAUACUCGCUCAGGUGCCUUUAAUGUUUAUCAGCUAUAAAUACUGAUCUGCUUGUUUAAUUGCUGUUGCUCGAUGUGCAGUAUGGUGUGUUGUUGUGAAUUGUGGCACUUUGGUACUACGUUAUUUGCGUUGUUCAUUUGAUUAGUUCAAGGUCAAUCCAAUCUUUUCUCAGCGCCCAUUAGAAACGCCCCAAUCCCAAACGGUUUGAAUCACAGACCCAUCUGACUGAUGUCCAUGUAGCGUUUGAAUAUGAGCUGGCAGGAUAAGACAGCUGUGCAAGGGUAACUAUCUAUAACAAGAGCAAUGUUUAAGGUAUGGAGUCAGGUAUGGAUGACAAACUUUGUGUAAGGUAUAGAGCUGUUUAUAACGUGACCUGUGAACUUAAGUAUGAGGUAUAGAACUGUUUAUAACCAGAGCUUUUUGUAAAGUAUAUAACUGCCUAUAAUCAUUCUAUAACUGUAGUUAUACUGAAGAAUUAUAUAGUGUUUUAAAGUGUUAACAAGUGAAUUUAACCUGUCUGCUGUCCAUGUUCUAGUCACCAGCUUUCUCUGAGCUGUGACGCCAGAGUGAAACGACCAUGUCUCAAAGCUGUUAGCGUGGAAAGUGUGCAUACUUGUGUAAAUCACCACUGUCACCAUGCUUUCAAGGUGAUUCCAUGUGUGAUAGGAGGUGUAUCAUCUCUCUGCCCAACGCAAGGGAGCUGUGCAUACAGUGUGAAAGGCAGCUUGUCAAGAUGCUGUUUGUGAAACACUAUGACUAUUGCCAAUGUGUAACUAUUCUGGAAGUAUAACCAUUUUAAAUGUGAGACAUAAAUAUUCUAAAUGUAAUGACUAUCAAGAG